AGAAUCAACGCUGGCGGCGUGCCUAAUACAUGCAAGUCGAACGCGAAAGUCCCGCAAGGGAUGAGUAGAGUGGCAAACGGGUGAGUAACGCGUGGGUGACCUGCCUUCGAGUGGGGGAUAACGUUUCGAAAGGAACGCUAAUACCGCAUGACAUCCCGCCUUUUAACAGGUGGAGAUCAAAGCCGGGGAUCGCAAGACCUGGCGCUUGAAGAGGGGCCCGCGUCCGAUUAGCUAGUUGGUGGGGUAACGGCUCACCAAGGCAACGAUCGGUA
rnacentral:rRNA from 1 species